UUGAACGCUGGCGGCAUGCCCUACACAUGCAAGUCGAACGGCAGCAUGAUCUAGCUUGCUAGAUUGAUGGCGAGUGGCGAACGGGUGAGUAAUACAUCGGAACGUGCCCUGUAGUGGGGGAUAACUAGUCGAAAGAUUAGCUAAUACCGCAUACGACCUGAGGGUGAAAGUGGGGGACCGCAAGGCCUCAUGCUAUAGGAGCGGCCGAUGUCUGAUUAGCUAGUUGGUGAGGUAAAGGCUCACCAAGGCGACGAUCAGUAGCUGGUCUGAGAGGACGAUCAGCCACACUGGGACUGAGACACGGCCCAGACUCCUACGGGAGGCAGCAGUGGGGAAUUUUGGACAAAGGGCGAAAGCCUGAUCCAGCAAUGCCGCGUGUGUGAAGAAGGCCUUCGGGUUGUAAAGCACUUUUGUCCGGAAAGAAAUGGCUCUGGUUAAUACCUGGGGUCGAUGACGGUACCGGAAGAAUAAGGACCGGCUAACUACGUG
rnacentral:rRNA from 1 species